AUUCCAGCUCCAAUAGCGUAUAUUUAAGUUGUUGCAGUUAAAAAGCUCGUAGUUGGAUUUUGGGUUAGGGUGUCCGGUCCGCCGUUUCGGUGUGCACUGGGCGCUCUUUCCUUUCUGCCGGGGACCGUUGGGUGUCUUAAUUGCCAUCCCUCGGGAGUCGGCGUUGUUACUUUGAAAAAAUUAGAGUGUUCAAAGCAAGCCAUCGCUCUGAAUACAUUAGCAUGGAAUAACAUGAUAGGACUCCGGUCUUAUUUUGUUGGUUUCCGAGACUGGAGUAAUGAUUAAGAGGGACAGUCGGGGGCAUCCGUAUUUCAUUGUCAGAGGUGAAAUUCUUGGAUUUAUGAAAGACGAACUUCUGCGAAAGCAUUUGCCAAGGAUGUUUUCAUUG
rnacentral:rRNA from 1 species